rnacentral:rRNA from 1 species
GUGCGUAGGCGGUUCGGUAGGUCUGAUGUGAAAUCUAUGGGCUCAACUCACAAUCUGCAUCAGAAACUGCCGGGCUUGAAUGUAGGAGAGGUGAGUGGAAUUUCUGGUGUAGCGGUGAAAUGCGUAGAUAUCAAGAAGAACACCUGUGGCGAAAGCGGCUCACUGGACCAUUACUGACGCUGAUGCACGAAAGCUAGCGGAGCAGAUAAGAUUCCAUAUCUGGUGUCCUACACCCUAAACGAUGACUGUUUGGGGUGACGGGCCCCCAUUCCCGCCGUGCCGAAGCUAACGCGUUAAGCGUUCCGCCUGGGGAGUACGGCCGCAAGGCUAAAACUCAAAGGAAUUGCCCGGCGCCCGCACAAGCGGAGGAGCAUUUUUUUUUAAUUCCACAAAACGCAAAAAACCUUACCUGGGCUCGAAAUGCUAUGAAACGGAGAAAAAUUCUUCCUUCCCCACAAGGGGCCGUAUUAUCGGUGCUGCUUUGUUGUCUUCUGCUCGCGUCAUGUGAUGUUGGGUCAAGUACCGCAACCACCGUUACCUUUUUCUUCGCUU